GUAAAACGACGGCCCAGUGAAAUGUAAUACGACUCACUAUAGGGCGAAUUGAAUUUAGCGGCCGCGAAUUCGCCUUUAGAGUUUGAUCAUGGCUCAGUCUGAACGCUGGCGGCGUGGCUAAGACAUGCAAGUCGAACGGUGUAGCAAUACACAGUGGCGGACGGGUGAGUAAUGUAUCGCUAAUGUACCCCGAUGUCUGGGAUAGCUAGUCGAAAGAUUAGGUAAUACCAGAUGAGACCACAGAACCGCAUGGUUCGGUGCUCAAAGGGUCACCGCAUUGGGCGCAGGCGAUAUCGUAUCAGCUAGUUGGUGAGGUAACGGCUCACCAAGGCGACGACGCGUAUCCGGACUGAGAGGUCGGCCGGACACAUUGGGACUGAGACACUGCCCAGACUCCUACGGGGGGCUGCAGUAACGAAUCUUCCGCAAUGCACGAAAGUGUGACGGAGCGACGCCGCGUGUAGGAUGAAGUCCUUCGGGAUGUAAACUACUGUCAGGGGAAAGAAAGUUCUGAUCUACCCCAAAGGAAGAGGCGGCUAACUCUGUGCCAGCAGCCGCGGUAAGACAGAGGCCUCGAGCGUUAGACGGAAUCACUGGGCUUAAAGCGUGUGUAGGCGGGAGGGUAAGUACCUUGUGAAAUCCCACGGCUCAACCGUGGAACUGCUUGGUAUACUGCUUCUCUUGAGCAAUCCAGGGGCGGGUGGAACAGAUGGUGGAGCGGUGAAAUGCGUAGAUAUCAUCUGGAACGCCAAUGGUGAAGACAACCCGCUGGGGAUUUGCUGACGCUGAGACACGAAAGCCAGGGGAGCGAACGGGAUUAGAUACCCCGGUAGUCCUGGCCCUAAACGAUGUCCACUAGAUUGUGGCGGCUCUGACGCCGUCAUGGUCGAAGCAAAAGUGUUAAGUGGACCGCCUGGGAAGUACGGUCGCAAGGCUAAAACUCAAAUGAAUUGACGGGGG
rnacentral:rRNA from 1 species